ACGGAAGGCAGCAGUGGGGAAUAUUGCACAAUGGGGGAAACCCUGAUGCAGCGACGCCGCGUGAGUGAUGAAGUAUUUCGGUAUGUAAAGCUCUAUCAGCAGGGAAGAUAAUGACGGUACCUGACUAAGAAGCACCGGCUAAAUACGUGCCAGCAGCCGCGGUAAUACGUAUGGUGCAAGCGUUAUCCGGAUUUACUGGGUGUAAAGGGAGCGUAGGUGGUUUGGCAAGCCAGAAGUGAAAACCCGGGGCUCAACCCCGCGGAUUGCUUUUGGAACUGUUGAACUAGAGUUCGGGAGGGGUAAGCGGAAUUCCCAGUGUAGCGGUGAAAUGCUUAGAUAUUGGGAGGAACACCGGCGGCGAAGGCGGCUUACUGGAACGACACUGACACUGAGGCUCGAAAGCGUGGGGAGCAAACAGGAUUAGAUACCCUGGUA
rnacentral:rRNA from 1 species